UAUCAGAAGUGCGAAUGCUGACAUAAGUAACGAUAAAGCGGGUGAAAAGCCCGCUCGCCGGAAGACCAAGGGUUCCUGUCCAACGUUAAUCGGGGCAGGGUGAGUCGACCCCUAAGGCGAGGCCGAAAGGCGUAGUCGAUGGGAAACGGGUUAAUAUUCCCGUACUUGGUGUUACUGCGAAGGGGGGACGGAGAAGGCUAUGUUGGCCGGGCGACGGUUGUCCCGGUUUAAGCGUGUAGGUGUGUGUUCCAGGUAAAUCCGGUUCACUUUAACACUGAGGCGUGAUGACGAGGCACCACGGUGCUGAAGCAACAAAUGCCCUGCUUCCAGGAAAAGCCUCUAAGCAUCAGGUAACAUCAAAUCGUACCCCAAACCGACACAGGUGGUCAGGUAGAGAAUACCAAGGCGCUUGAGAGAACUCGGGUGAAGGAACUAGGCAAAAUGGUGCCGUAACUUCGGGAGAAGGCACGCUGACACGUAGGUGAAGUGAUUUACUCAUGGAGCUGAAGUCAGUCGAAGAUACCAGCUGGCUGCAACUGUUUAUUAAAAACACAGCACUGUGCAAACACGAAAGUGGACGUAUACGGUGUGACGCCUGCCCGGUGCCGGAAGGUUAAUUGAUGGGGUCAGCGCAAGCGAAGCUCCUGAUCGAAGCCCCGGUAAACGGCGGCCGUAACUAUAACGGUCCUAAGGUAGCGAAAUUCCUUGUCGGGUAAGUUCCGACCUGCACGAAUGGCGUAAUGAUGGCCAGGCUGUCUCCACCCGAGACUCAGUGAAAUUGAACUCGCUGUGAAGAUGCAGUGUACCCGCGGCAAGACGGAAAGACCCCGUGAACCUUUACUAUAGCUUGACACUGAACAUUGAGCCUUGAUGUGUAGGAUAGGUGGGAGGCUUUGAAGCGUGGACGCCAGUCUGCGUGGAGCCGACCUUGAAAUACCACCCUUUAAUGUUUGAUGUUCUAACGUGGACCCGUAAUCCGGGUUGCGGACAGUGUCUGGUGGGUAGUUUGACUGGGGCGGUCUCCUCCUAAAGAGUAACGGAGGAGCACGAAGGUUGGCUAAUCCUGGUCGGACAUCAGGAGGUUAGUGCAAUGGCAUAAGCCAGCUUGACUGCGAGCGUGACGGCGCGAGCAGGUGCGAAAGCAGGUCAUAGUGAUCCGGUGGUUCUGAAUGGAAGGGCCAUCGCUCAACGGAUAAAAGGUACUCCGGGGAUAACAGGCUGAUACCGCCCAAGAGUUCAUAUCGACGGCGGUGUUUGGCACCUCGAUGUCGGCUCAUCACAUCCUGGGGCUGAAGUAGGUCCCAAGGGUAUGGCUGUUCGCCAUUUAAAGUGGUACGCGAGCUGGGUUUAGAACGUCGUGAGACAGUUCGGUCCCUAUCUGCCGUGGGCGCUGGAAGACUGAGGGGGGCUGCUCCUAGUACGAGAGGACCGGAGUGGACGCAUCACUGGUGUUCGGGUUGUCAUGCCAAUGGCACUGCCCGGUAGCUAAAUGCGGAAAAGAUAAGUGCUGAAAGCAUCUAAGCACGAAACUUGCCCCGAGAUGAGUCUUCCCUGAGACCUUGAGUCUCCUGAAGGAACGUUAAAGACGAUGACGUUGAUAGGCCGGGUGUGUAAGCGCAGCGAUGCGUUGAGCUAACCGGUACUA
rnacentral:rRNA from 1 species